ACGGAACGAAUGAAUCGAUGCUCUCUGUACCUGCAAAGGAAGAAGAAAAGAUAUUAAAACACAUACUUCUGACUUUGGAAUUUGAUGGCGGGGUUUGUCGCGGACGCUCGUUAGGACGCAGAUACCUCAUCCGACGCGCAGUGCCAUCAUGGUGCCUCCUUCAGGCCACGAGUUCUGAGGUUGUCAUAAUUGGGCCAACCAUCUCCGUAACUGAAAGGAACAAGCGCACAUGUUACGACGAGGGAGCGAUUUGUUUGUCUCGGCCAUGUCGCGUGGGAGGAACAAAGGAAGGGG
rnacentral:lncRNA from 1 species